rnacentral:lncRNA from 1 species
GAGCCCAAGCUGAGCCCACAUCCUGAGAAACCAGAAAUGAAGGUGCAGAUGGAAGAGAGAAAGUCGGCACAAGUGGAUGAGAAUUCCUCAGAGUGGAUGAGGUCGUGGCGAAGCAGGUGGAAUGGGAAAAGGUUAGCGGGAAGCUGCAACACCUGUCUGAAGUUGGUAAUGAUUGUGACCUCUCAGAAUAUCAUCACUUCCUGGGCUCAAGGUUGGCUGAAAGCCACUCACAUUGCUCAAGGCUGAGGAUGAAGGCGACCUCAUCAGUGUUCCCUGACUGUGUUUCCAUCAGCUGCAGAAAUGAAGAGGAAGGUGAGUCCUUCGCCCAUUCAGCCUGCUGAGAAACAUGGCUGUGACUCGGGAAAGAAAGAAAACAGAUCCCAGUUCCUUGGAUGUACAUCUACUGCUACCGAGGUCACCAUGGCAGUACCACUCAGCCCCAAUCCAGGGGCUGAAGUGAAUGUUGUGGAGUUCAAGGAGUAUAAGUGUUCUUGGGUGGGAGAGAAUGAACUGCAGUUUGAAGACCGAAGAUCAAGUUCUGUUAGACCUGAAGCAGCUCUCGGCUCCCUGGACACCAAAGUGCAGAAACAUGGAGGUGUAAAGUACAAAGAUGAUGUGGAGUCUCUGCUUGGGGAGAAGCCGCAGCCCAAAGAGCAGCAGCUGUCUGCGGAGCUUCCCCUGACCGAGCAGCUCAGGGCGUCCAUGUUGCUCAUUCGAGAGCAGAAACGGGAGCUCUCUGAGUUAACCAGGAAGCUGAAAGAAGGGAGAGCAGUGUCAUUGCUGCUGAAGGAGUCUCUGGAGGUCCUCCUCAGUCGAAGUCACCCUGACACUGAGCACAGCUGGCUACAGGGACUGGCUGCAGGGUGCAGGCUGGCAGAGCAGCUCGUCCACAUGCUCAACCUAGGACCUGAAGACAUCCGCAACCAAGAGGAAGUGGUGCGGGAGGGAGUGUCCACCUGGUGA